CACAGUGAUAAACAAGGUCAUUGGAAUAUAUUUGUGCUGAACUCCCAUUAGAUGGUAAUAAAAUUGACAGCUAGAGUACUUUUAUCAAAACUGCAUAAAAAUAAACCGCUGUGGAGUAAUUAGGGUAAUUUUUAUACUCCAUUACGGCUGAUAAAUUGACGCGACAGAAUAAAACUAUUCUCAUUUAGGUGUAAAAAUUACUUCCUUCGUGAUAAAACUAUCAUGUCCGGACAAUAAUUUUAUAACCAUGGAGUAAUAUUAUGUGGUAGCAUUACUAACAUUAUUCUUCGGGAGUAUUCGGGAGCGUAUUUCAAGCAAUACUGUAUCACUUUCUUGAUAAUCCUAUUCCGUUGUGACAUAACUAAUCUAAAAGUGAUUAAUCUAUUCGUCCAGCACAGUAUUAUUCCAAGUAUAAUAUUUUCGGAACGUCUCUUCAGUUCGCGACCAUUCGCGACCGCCAUUGUGCUCAAGUCGUCAGAACCAAGGCCUUCUGUCAGAGAACCGAGCAAGCGUCCCAGUCCUCGAAGGUGACUCUGCGGAAGAACAGCUUCCGACAGAAACUUCGGAACAGAUUCAAAAACUGUCGAAAGCCAUUGAGCAUUGAGCAACGCCGUCAUCGACACGGAAAGACGAGCCAGGGGCAUCGUUGUGAAAAAGCGUGCGGCAGCUGAAGAGGGGAUGCCGGGGUCGGGGAUGUUUCCCAAAACGAAGAAGUCGCAGCUAGACAUCUGCACCGAAACCGCCAAGUUCAGUGCCAAGCUAAAGCACGCCGAUGUCACUCACAAGACAUCUGUUCUCAAAGAUUCCUUCGAGGUUCGGCGGAUAUGCCUCACGAGCAACCGAAACCGGAAGACUGGCGAGGAGAUGAAGGAGAUAUUCCCGGAUAUGUACAGCGAAGCUGCCGUGUGGACUGACUUGGGAAUGAUCAUGGGGCUCGAGGAGGACGUGAAGGAGCAUGUCCUGCAC